rnacentral:rRNA from 1 species
CACGUAGGGCGCGAGCGUUGUCCGGAAUUACUGGGCGUAAAGGGUGUGCAGGCGGGGAAGCAAGUGGUGUAUGAAAUAUCCCAGCUUAACUGGGAGGGGUUAUGCCAGACUGCUUUUCUAGAGGACGAGAGAGGGGGGUGGAAUUCCGGGUGUAGUGGUGAAAUGCGUAGAGAUCCGGAGGAACCCCAGAGGCGAAGGCGGCCCCCUGGCUCGUACCUGACGCUCAGCCACGAAAGCAUGGGGAGCGAACGGG